rnacentral:rRNA from 1 species
CGCAAUGGGCGAAAGCCUGACGGAGCAAUGCCGCGUGGAGGAUGAAAGCCUAUGGGUUGUAAACUCCUUUUUUCAGAGAAGAAAUUUUGACGGUAUUUGAGGAAUAAGCAUCGGCUAACUCCGUGCCAGCAGCCGCGGUAAUACGGGGGAUGCAAGUGUUAUCCGGAAUAAUUGGGCGUAAAGCGUCUGUAGGUGGUUUACCAAGUCUGUUGUUAAAAAUCAGGGCUCAACCCUGAUCCGGCAACAGAAACUAGUAGACUUGAGUACGGUAGGGGCAGAGGGAAUUCUCGGUGUAGUGGUGAAAUACGUAGAUAUCGAGAAGAACACCAAUAGCGAAGGCACUUUGCUGGGCCGAAACUGACAUUGAGAGACGAAAGCUU